rnacentral:rRNA from 1 species
AACGAACGCUGGCGGCAUGCCUAACACAUGCAAGUCAAACGAGACCUUCGGGUUUAGUGGCGCACGGGUGCGUAACGCGUGGUAAUCUGCCCUUCGGUUGGGAAUAACUGAGAGACAUUUCAGCUCAUACCUUCUAAUGUCUUCGGUCCAAAGAUUUAUCGCCGAGGGAUGAGCCCGCGUAGGAUUAGGUAGUUGGUGGGGUAAUGGCCUACCAAGCCGACGAUCCUUAGCUGGUCAGAGAGGAUGAUCAGUCACUCUGGGACUGGGACACGGCCCAGAGUCCUACGGGAUGGAGCAGUGGGGAAUAUGUGACAAUGUGCGAAAGCCUGAUCCAGCAAUGCCGCGUGAGUGAUGAAGGCCUUAGGGUUGUAAAGCUCUUUUACCCGGGAUGAUAAUGACAGUACCGGGAGAAUAAGCUCCGGCUAACUCCGUG